UACGUAGGGGGCAAGCGUUGUCCGGAAUCAUUGGGCGUAAAGCGCGCGUAGGCGGUCCGAUAAGUCUGCUGUGAAAGUCGGGGGCCCAACCCUCGGAUGCCGGUGGAUACUGUCGGGCUUGAGUGCGGAAGAGGCGAGUGGAAUUCCUGGUGUAGCGGUGAAAUGCGCAGAUAUCAGGAGGAACACCAAUUGCGAAGGCAGCUCGCUGGGACGUUACUGACGCUGAUGCGCGAAAGCGUGGGGAGCAAACAGG
rnacentral:rRNA from 1 species